rnacentral:rRNA from 1 species
AAGUGGUACGCGAGCUGGGUUUAGAACGUCGUGAGACAGUUCGGUCCCUAUCUGCCGUGGGCGCUGGAGAAUUGAGGGGGCUGCUCCUAGUACGAGAGGACCGGAGUGGACGCAUCACUGGUGUUCGGGUUGUCAUGCCAAUGGCAUGCCCGGUAGCUAAAUGCGGAAGAGAUAAGUGCUGAAAGCAUCUAAGCACGAAACUUGCCC